GUGCUUGACAGACGACUCUGG
rnacentral:miRNA from 1 species